rnacentral:tRNA from 1 species
GGGGCUAUAGCUCAAUGGUAGAGCAGCGGCCUUUUAAGCCGUUGGUUGAAGGUUCGAGUCCUUCUGGCCCCACCA